UUAAAGCUCCGUACCACGUGAAAAUGUUUUUGUAAAGCGUUAAAUUCCAGGUUUACAGGGAGAAUGUGAAACUGAGAAACUGGUAGUGAUAGGACAACUGUGAGCUGAACCUGCCCAAAGGCUAGAUGUAAAUCAUGGAAGGAACUGUAACAACAGUAGGACUUAAUGAGGAACCAGAGUGGUGCGAAGGUUGCCAGGCUCUACGUAGGGAAUUGACACAGCUACAGAGUGAACAUGAGUUGAAUUAUACCACUUUAAAACAGAAGAUAAUCUCUACAGAUUUGCUGAUCAAGAAGUUCAGUUCCAAGUGUCAAGA